GCGGCCGUGGCGGAACUGGUAGACGCACUGGAUUUAGGUUCCAGCGCCGCAAGGUGUGUGGGUUCGAGUCCCUCCGGCCGCA
rnacentral:tRNA from 2 species